UACGGGGGGGGCAAGCGUUGUUCGGAAUUACUGGGCGUAAAGGGCUCGUAGGCGGCCAACUAAGUCGGAUGUGAAAUCCCCAGGCUCAACCUGGGAACUGCAUCCGAUACUGGAUGGCUUGAAUCCGGGAGAGGGAUGCAGAAUUCCUGGUGUAGCGGUGGAAUGCGCAGAUAUCAGGAGGAACACCGGUGGCGAAGGCGGGUCUCUGGGCAGUAACUGACGCUGAGGAGCGAAAGCGUGGGGAGCGAACAGG
rnacentral:rRNA from 1 species